GAGAGUUUGAUCCUGGCUCAGAUUGAACGCUGGCGGAAUGCUUUACACAUGCAAGUCGAACGGCAGCACGGGGGCAACCCUGGUGGCGAGUGGCGAACGGGUGAGUAAUACAUCGGAACGUGCCCAGUCGUGGGGGAUAACGUAGCGAAAGCUACGCUAAUACCGCAUACGAACUCUGGUUGAAAGCGGGGGAUCGCAAGACCUCGCGCGAUUGGAGCGGCCGAUGGCAGAUUAGGUAGUUGGUGGGGUAAAGGCUCACCAAGCCGACGAUCUGUAGCUGGUCUGAGAGGACGACCAGCCACACUGGGACUGAGACACGGCCCAGACUCCUACGGGAGGCAGCAGUGGGGAAUUUUGGACAAUGGGCGCAAGCCUGAUCCAGCCAUUCCGCGUGCAGGAUGAAGGCCCUCGGGUUGUAAACUGCUUUUGUACGGAACGAAACGGCUCUCUCUAAUACAGGGGGCUAAUGACGGUACCGUAAGAAUAAGCACCGGCUAACUACGUGCCAGCAGCCGCGGUAA
rnacentral:rRNA from 1 species